UACAGAGAGUGCAAACGUUGUUCGGAAUUACUGGGCUUGAAGCGCACGUAGGCGGCGUUGUAAGUGUCGGGUGAAAUCCCACGGCUCACCCGUGGAACUGCCCGGCAUACUGCGACGCUAGAGUGUGGUAGGGGAGAGCGGAACUCCUGGUGGAGCGGUGAAAUGCGUAGAUAUCAGGAGGAACACCGGUGGCGAAGGCGGCUCUCUGGUCCACAACUGACGCUGAGGUGCGAAAGCUAGGGGAGCAAACGGG
rnacentral:rRNA from 1 species